rnacentral:lncRNA from 1 species
UAAAUCAUGUUUUUAUGAUUUUUGUAAAUCUUGACUUUUUACACCUUGUUUUUGUAAGCUGAAGUUUUCUUAUUAAAAGAAUAAAAUAUCUUUGUGUACACGCUUUAUUUGUUAAAAUACCAUUAGAUUAUUCCUCAGGACAAGAGCUAAGAUCAGCCCCUGCAGAAACUUAAGGGAAGGUGCCAUCUGACAAACUUCAGCCGCCAUCAGGGCAAGUCUGGUGAUGGUCACAGAUUGGAAGCUGUUUUUGAAGGGGUCGAGUACAGCACAGGGGUUCUGUGUGUCUUCACAGCUAGACCCCAGGG